rnacentral:rRNA from 1 species
GAUCUAGCCCUGAGCAGGUUGAAGCGCGGGUAAGACCGCGUGGAGGACCGAACCCACCUGGGUUGAAAACCGGGGGGAUGACUUGGGGCUAGGGGUGAAAGGCCAAUCAAAUUCCGUGAUAGCUGGUUCUCUCCGAAAUGCAUUUGGGUGCAGCGUCGGGUCAUUACGUCCCGGGGGUAGAGCUACUGGAUGCUUGCGGGCCCGUAUCGGGUACCAACAGCAACCAAACUCCGAAUACCGGUGACGCGUAUCCCGGCAGUGAGUCGGCGGGGGAUAAGCUUCGUCGUCGAAAGGGAAACAGCCCAGACCGUCGUCUAAGGUCCCGAAGCGUGUGCUAAGUGGGAAAGGAUGUGGAGUCGCAUAGACAGCCAGGAGGUUGGCUCAGAAGCAGCCACCCUUGAAAGAGUGCGUAACAGCUCACUGGUCUAGUGGUUCCGCGCCGACAAUGUAGCGGGGCUCAAGCACACCACCGAAGACGCGGCAGUAUUUUGUACUGGGUAGGAGAGCGUCCCAUGAGGGGCGAAGCGGCCGUGUGAACGCGCCGUGGACUUCAUGGGAGUGAGAAUGCAGACAUGAGUAGCGAGAGACGGGUGAAGAUCCCGUCCGCUGGAUGACCAAGGGUUCCAGGGCCACGUUCAUCGUCCCUGGGUGAGUCGGGUCCUAAGGCGAGGCCGACAGGCGUAGUCGAAUGGAUGAACGGGUCGAUAUUCCCGUACCGGCUUUCAGCCGCCAAAACCGAGGCUUGGAGUACUAACCUCCGGGUCCGGGCUUACUGCUCCUUCGGGGGCGGGAUGCCCUGGCCUGUUGGGACCGAUCCUUGUAGUAGGUCAGCGCAGGAGUGACGCAGAAGGGUAGCCGGCCGCGGAGGUGGUCUUCCGUGGUCAAGCACGCAGGGCGUGGGACAGGCAAAUCCGUCCCGCAUGGGUCCGAGGUGCGAUGAUGGGGGCCUUAUGGCCCGAUAUCCGGUGAUCCCGGCUGCCGAGAAAAGCUUCGGCGUCAGGCUCGAAGCCGCCCGUACCCCAAACCGACACUGGUGGUCAGGUAGAGAAUACCAAAGCGAUCGAGCGAAUCCUGGUCAAGGAACUCGGCAAAUCACUCCCGUUCCUUCGGUUUAAGGGAGACCCCCGAUGGUGAACACACUUGCUGUGGGAGCUUUUGGGGGUGGCACAGACCAGGGGGUAGCGACUGUUUACCAAAAACACAGGUGCAUGCGAAGGCGCAAGCCGCUGUAUAUGCACUGACGCCUGCCCGGUGCCGGAAGGUUAAGAGGAUCCGUCAGCCUUCGGGUGAAGCGGUGAAUUCAAGCCCCGGUAAACGGCGGUGGUAACUAUAACCAUCCUAAGGUAGCGAAAUUCCUUGUCGGGUAAGUUCCGACCUGCACGAAUGGCGUAACGACUUCCCCACUGUCUCGACCAGGAGCUCGGCGAAAUUGCAGUACGAGUAAAGAUGCUCGUUAAGCGCAGAAGGACGAAAAGACCCCGGGACCUUUACUAUACCUUGGUAUUGGCAUUCGGUGUGGAUUGUGUAGCAUAGGCGGGAGGCCGAGAGGCGCGGUCGCCAGAUCGCGCGGAGCCGUAAGGUGAAAUACCGCUCUGUUCGCAUUGGAUGUCUAACCUCGAACAGUCAUCCUGUUCAGGGACAGUGCCUGGCGGGUAGUUUAACUGGGGCGGUUGCCUCCCAAAGAGUAACGGAGGCGCCCAAAGGUCCGCUCAGCCCGGUUGGCAAUCGGGUGGCGAGUGCAAGUGCACAAGCGGGCUUGACUGCGAGGACGACGGUCCGAGCAGGGACGAAAGUCGGGACUAGUGAUCCGGUGCCGGUGUACGGACGCGGCAUCGCUCAACGGAUAAAAGGUACCCCGGGGAUAACAGGCUGAUCAUUCCCAAGAGUCCAUAUCGACGGGAUGGUUUGGCACCUCGAUGUCGGCUCGUCGCAUCCUGGGGCUGGAGCAGGUCCCAAGGGUUCGGCUGUUCGCCGAUUAAAGCGGCACGCGAGCUGGGUUCAGAACGUCGUGAGACAGUUUGGUCUCUAUCCUCUGCGCUCGUUGGAAUGCUGAGGAGGCCUGCCCAUAGUACGAGAGGACCUGGGUGGACGAACCUCUGGUAUGCCGGUUGUCACGCCAGUGGCACGGCCGGUUGGCUACGUUCGGAAGGGAUAACCGCUGAAAGCAUCUAAGCGGGAAGCCUGCUCCAAGAUAAGCAUUCCGUGGAACCUUCGAGUUCCUGUAGUCCCCAUGCAGAACACGUGGUCGAUAGGCCGGACGUGGAAGCCCCGCGAGGGGUGGAGCCGACCGGUACUAACGGACGAAAGGCAACACUAA